AUUGAACGCUGGCGGCAGGCCUAACACAUGCAAGUCGAGCGGUAGAGAGAAGCGUGCGUCUCUUGAGAGCGGCGGACGGGUGUGUAAUGCCUAGGAAUCUGCCUGGUAGUGGGGGAUAACGUUCGGAAACGGACGGUAAUACCGCAUACGUCCUACGUGAGAAAGCAGGGGACCUUCGGUCCUUGCGCUAACAGAGGAGCCUAGGUCGGAUUAGCUAGUGGGGGGGGUAAUGGCGCACCAAGGCGACGACCCGUAACUGGUCUGAGAGGAUGAUCAGUAACACUGGAACUGAGACACGGUCCAGACUCCUACGGGAGGCAGCAGUGGGGAAUAUUGGACAAUGGGAGAAAGCCUGAUCCAGCCAUGCCGCGUGUGUGAAGAAGGUCUUCGGAUUGUAAAGCACUUUAAGUUGGGAGGAAGGGCAGUAAGCUAAUACCUUGCUGUUUUGACGUUACCGACAGAAUAAGCACCGGCUAACUCUGUGCCAGCCGCCGCAGUAA
rnacentral:rRNA from 1 species